rnacentral:lncRNA from 1 species
GGAUCUACUUACCAACGCAGAAAAUGAUACACACGGAUUCGAUUUAGGCACGCUACAUUCAAAUGACUUGGAAGAGCAGGUUCUCUGAGCCAGGAUACUAAAGUCCCUGUUUAGGAAAGAGCCACGUUGUAUGUUUACCCUACCACAAAGAUACAGUCAUGUGCCUGGGAAAGAUUGAUGCCAGCUCCAGAAAGGCAUCCGAAUGGUCUAAGUAAUGCCAUCCAUCUGUCAGUAAUAGAUUCAGAAAUGGUGCUGGCAGAGGAAACAGCAGCAAUGAUGCUCUGCGAGCCUGACUCAGGGCCAGCAGUGAUGGCAGCCCAAGAAUUCUGGAGGAAAGUGGCUCUGGGAAUUGAACAGUGGCUCAGUGAUGUUGGGGCCACCAAGUCUGCAAUUCUCCCUACCUGUUCUUCAUGGUUGUAAGAUGACUGCUGCAAUUCUCGGCAUCAUGUGCAUGUUAAUGUCAGGAGGAAGAAAGGAAGAGGGAGCACUGGGAUGUUACAUUCAUUUUGUCAGGAAAAGCAAAGCCUUUCCAGACAGCUCCGAAACUUGCUUACCUCUCAUUGGCCAGCACCAUCACUUGACCACUUGUCCACUCCUAGCUGCAAGGAAAGUGGCAAAGUAGAAGGUAUUUGAGAAUGUCUGCUGGGUUAGCCAAAACAAUAGUGACUUCUACACCCAAUUUUCUGGGCACUGCAGAAGUAUCCUUGAGUCCUAUGUGAUCAGAGGGAGAGCAAACCUCAAUAAUGAAACAGAUUCAAUUUCCAUCACCCAGUGAGACACCAUGGGAUUAGAAUAAAUUUUUAAAAAAACAAAUUGAAAAAAAUGCAUUUUUAAAACAACAAAAUCAGAAAGGAUGAAAGGUGAUAUUUCUAGCAUAUCAGUUUGUGGUGGUAAAUUAAUUACCUUAUACAAAGGCCUCAGUGACUUUCUUCUCCUUACCUAACGAAUCAUCUUUAAAAUAAGUAAAAUAAAGAAACAAGAGCAGCAGCAGAUGCUUCCUAAAAAGAAGUUACCAAAUCUGUUCACCACAAACCUGAGAAUUCAACUGUGGACAUUUGGACACCAGCAAUGAACAUGAAACUCAGCUUAUGAGGCAUAUUUGGCUAAAGGUCAAGGUGACUUAAAGUUCAUCAUAGGACAUCUACAAUUUGCAAAGCAGGUGACUGGAUAUGGACUCCUUCCAAGUCUCAUUUAAUUGGAUAAUGCCUACGUUUUAAGUAUCAGAAGUGAGUCUUUCUCUAUUAAAUGAAGUCAGUUCCACUAAAACCUAAAUCUUGUUUGGCAGGCACUCCAUGUUUCUUAAUUUUUAUUCCAUGCUGUAUAUUCUUUUAGACUUGAUUUUCACUUUUUUUUCUUUUUUCCUGUACAUUUAUCUUUGCUGUGAAACAAAGUGCCCUGCUUUGAAGGACAGGUUUGUGGGCUGCUGGUGGUGAGACAACAGCAGUCCUUCCAAGUCUUCCUCCCAUCACUCUGUUAGCUCUCCCUUUGUUUUUAAUUAGCAUUACACCAGUUAAUUCUGUUAUCUCUUAACCCUGGUUCUGCAUCCUCUUCUUCUUUUCUAUUCCUUACUCCGCUCCUGUUUUUUCUUGUUCUGCUUUUCCAAGAAAUGUCUUGUCUCCUCAUCAGUUGACUGUCUUCUCUUUCCAGAGGGACCAUAAAGGUGCCAGCCUAAGGAACACGUAAAACGUGGGAACAGACAAACAAGCUGCUGCCUAUUACAGAGAUAGAUAAUUAACUUUGGACCAUUACAUGCAAUUCAUCAGCUUAUCUUUUUCAAACUUUAUAUAAGAAGUCAUUUCCCAAUGGUAACCACUUGCCAGCUGCAACUUUGACGCAUAUUAUCAGGAUAGGUGAGAUUGAUGGGGGCCCUUUGAACUCUUCCCAGGGAAUUAUCUUUAUAAUGUUACAGUUUUCUCUAUAGCAUGGUCAUAUUGUUAACAUUGGUUAUAAGGUCAUAUGGUUAGUAUGGUUAGUAUUGGUGGCUCACAGCUGUAAUACCAGCACUUUGGGAGGCCAAGGUGGGAGGAUCACUUGAGCCCUGGUGUUCAAAACCAGCUCUGGAAACAUAGCAAGACCUUGUCUCUACAAAAAAAAAUUAAAUAAAUUAAAAGAUUAGCUGGGCAUGGUGGCACAUGCCUGUAGUCCUCACUACUUGGGAAACUAAGGUGGGAGGAUCCUUUGAGCUUGGGAGGUUGAGGCUGCAGUGAGCUGUGGUUGUGCCAUGGCACUCCAGCCUGGGUGACAGAGUGAGAGCCUGUCUCAAAAAAAAAAAAAAAAAAAAAAAAAAGUACCUGUAAGGUCUUUGGGAUUUUGAAGAUGAAAGGUGUUGCAUAAAUUGAAUGAAUUCACUUAGAGAGAUAGAAGGCAACUACAGGGAAUAUUACGUACAUCAUGGAGCGGAAAGCACUAAGGCCUGUGGAAUUAUUCUCAGUGACACGUCGUUGAGGGCAGUGGUCCACAUGUUUUGAACAUGGUUUCUCCCAGGUGAAAAGGAUGAGUAAUUUGUUCUCCUUCACAUGUGUGUAUGUAGGUCUUAUACACAGCAGAUUUGCCACAAAACAAAUGAAGAUUACACUUUGGGCCCCUCUCUCACAUGAGCCCCUUCCAAAGUUCUGUUUGCUAAUUUUACAUUUUGUAAUUUCUUAUUAUUUUUCUUAAAGAAGCCUCCUCCAAUUGCAUAAACUUCAAGCCUCACAAAAUUUGGAUCCAUACCUGAGCCAACAUACAAUACAAUUUUCCAUUUCUAACUUUUAGUUGUACCUAGUGUUUUAUUGGAAAUGAUCAAGUACAUGAGUGGUGUCUUUUUAAAAAAUUUACUUUAUUUGCUUCUCUAGCUUCAUCGUUAGUUAGGCAGUUAAAUCUAACCAUUUGGAGGUAUUUUCAUAUAACCUCCAUUGAGGACAAUUUGGCAAUAGCUUUUAAAAUUAUAAAUAUAUUUGUACAGUUAUAAGCUGCCAUAUCUAUAAAACUAUUUGAUAGACAAAAGUUGAAAACCCUCCAAGAGCUCAUCAAUAAAAGAUUAAAUUAAUUAUGAUACAUCCAUAUGAGCACUGAGCAGCUGUGAAAAAAAUGAGGAAGUAAUUCCUGUGCUGAUAUGGGAAGACUUCCAAGACAUGUUGUUAAGUACAGAAUGGUGUAUACAGUAUGCUAUAUAGUGUGGUAAAAGGUUUAGGGAUAAGCAUUUAUAUUUAUAACUGUUUAUAUUUACAUAAAGUAAUUCUGAAAGGAUACAAAAAAGCUAACAAAAGAGAUUACCUGUGGUAGUGUGGGGCUUGGGGAUUGGAUGGGUGAGAAACAGUAGUGGAAAUGAGAUAUUGUACAGUUUAAGGCAUUAUACACCUAUAAAAACAUGGGAAUGUAUUACCUACUCAAAAAGUGAAAUUAAGAGAGAUACAAGAAACUGUUUGGAUGUUCCUUCCCGUUUCAAUGUAUCUAUAUUUUUUCAGCCCUCAAAGUUAUUAUAAAUGUCAUUAUAAUAACUUCAUAAAGCUUCCCCUAUAAUGAGAAUCUUACCAUUCUCCUAACUCCAAUAGCACUGUAAUCCACCUCUGUUAGGACACAUCACUCUUCAUCAUGUGUGAUUAUUAUUUGCAGAUAUCAUCUUCAAGGCUCUUCUCUAUUUACCACCUGCCAUUCUUGUUCUCACCUCUACAUGACCUUCACAUUUUAUUUCUCUCGGUUUUUUGGACAAGCUACAUUCCCUUCCACAGAGAAGGCUUCCCUGACCCCUUUCACUUGGUUGGAUUACCUUGCUAUUCUUUUCUAUCUUUGUACAUUCCUUUUCAAAAUACUUAUCUCCCUUGUUGUUACCUAUAAUGUCUGUCUUCUUUACUCAAGAGUCUAGACAAAAAGCUCCACGCCAGCCUCGGCUGUGUUUGUAUUGUUUACGUCUGUGUUCCUAGUGCUUAAUAAAAUACCUAGCAAGGGUUAAUAAGUACUUGUUGACUGGAAGGGAAUGACUUCCUUCCCUUACUAGAGAGUGAUUUCCUUACAGGCGAGAUGUGUCAACCUUCUAUAGCCCACAUAAAAUAAAGGACAAUAUCUCCUAUUGGAUAAAAGACAAGAAUUUACAUAUGAGUUUUGUCAUUUACCAUACCAGCUCUGGGAUCUUAACUUUUUAGCCUCUCUGGGCUUCAGAGCUCUCAUCUACAUUAAGUUUUUCAUUCAUUCUGUCAUUCAAUAAAUAUUUAUGGAAUGCUUAGCAUGUGCCACUAGUCUAGCAACUGUGGAUACUGAAGUACGCAAGGCAGAAUAGUACUUGCUAUCUGAAGCACACGGUUUAAUUGGGGUGGGGAAAGAGUUGGUGGGGAGGGUCUCAUUAAACAUAUAAGCCAAAUAAACCAAAAUUACAGGUAGAGUUAAGGCCAUGGCAGAGCAACUGAAGGUGAUGAAUUCAGAGAGGCCAGGAAGGGACCCUCUGAAGCGAUCAUAUCUGAACUGAGUUUUUGAGUCAACUAAAUGAGAUAGUGUCUGUGAAUGUCUUAGAAUCAUGUCUGGCAUGUAAUAAGUGUCAUAAAUGAUAAGUAUUACUAUUUAUAAAAACUUGUCAAAAAAUGAACCAAAAAUACAAGCAGCUUGUCUUUCACAUAUAAAAUACUAUAGUUGCAACAUGUAUAUGUCUUUGUAUAGUGAGAAAGCAUAUUGUAUGUAUAUUAUAUUUCAUUUGAGUAAGUUAUUUUUUAACUGAAGGAAUCUCCUAUUUUGGUUCUGAAAUAGUUAACGUUCCUUUUAAGUAGUCUCAUUUAUACCUUGAGAGUGAUUUAAUUACCCACAGCAUCUGUUUAACAUUGUACUCACAGAGAAAUCACAGAAACGUAUGCAACAUUGGUUGUUCCUAAGUAGAUUCAAUGUUCUCUAAGGUCUCAUUAACCUGUAAGUUCUCACAUGUUUGUUACAUCUGAGCUAAUGAAGAAAUAGCCAGGGGUAAGGAACUGAGAAAGAGACUAUGGCUGUCUCAACACAAACCCAUUCCAGGACUGUAAAAAAUAUCUGACAAGUCAUAUCUUCCCAGUGUGGUAGUAAAAUCACUGGAGUGUAUUGGAUGGUAUAAGCAACUGAAGAGGAUUAAGAAUGGCCUCUGUGGCUGGGCACAGAGGUUCACGCUUGUAAUCUCAGAACAUUGGGAGGCUUAGGUGGGAGAAUCACUUGAACUCAGGAGUCUGAGACCAGCUUGGGCAACAUAGGAAGACCCCCACCUCUACAAAAAAAAAUUAAAAAUUAGCUGGGUCUCGUGGUGCACGUCUGUGGUCCCAGCUACUCAAGAGGCUGAGGUGGGAGGAUUGCUUGGGCCCAGGAGGUUGAGGCUGCAGUGAGCCAAGAUCACACCACUGCACUCAAGCCUAGGUGAUGGAGCAAUAACCACUCUAGAAAAAAAAAAAGAAAAAAGAAAGGAAAAAAAAAAAGAAUGGUCUCUUUGCCAGGCAUUUCUCCUUUAGUCCCUAAAAAACAUAGGCAGUAGGUAGCUGCCUCAAGUUGGAUUCUUCAGAAGCUGACCCUUAGACGCAGGAGAGAGAAGUGUAAGAUGGGGAUAAAAGUCUCUUUUCCAGGUAAAGUCUCUGCCUGGGCUGGGGUAUUCUAGGGUAAUGUGUAAAUUACACAUUGAAGUUUGUCCUUAUUUGAGGUUAGAGAAUUAGGCUUUCAAACUCCUGCACCAGUCACUCACUGGCUAUGACCCCAAGCAGCUCCAGUAGCCCAAGGGCAGUUCCCCAAAGACAGCCACAGAUAUGGGCUGGGCAAGCAAAUGACAGAGGGGCUUUCUGCACAGAAAUGAUGAAGGAGGCCCACAGAAUCAGGGCAGAGCCCUACCCGUGCUCUACGGCAUUCAUAUCCCCAAUUUACAUGGGAGAAAAUCCGACACUCAGAGAGGUCAAGUACUUCAUUAAAGGUAACUGUUUAAGGGGCAGAGCUUGGCUACAAACCCAGACAGAUUUGACUCCACAGUUCAUGCUCACUCUUCUCUACCAAAUGUGCCUCCCUUUCCUGACCAUCAGUUAUAUAUUCAGGAACAUAUUCUGUAUUUAUAUAAAUAGACAUUAUUAACCUAGCUUCCUGAGGCAGAAGAUUCUAUCAGGAAUUGUAGUGAAAUAUUAUAUUUGGGGAUCUCUAGAAGAGCACUACCUAAAAUCAAUGCAAUGAAAGCUACCUGUGUAAUUUAAAAUUUACUAGUGCUCUCAAUAAAAAGGAAAAUAAAUAAGAGAAAUUAAAUUAAAUAAUAUAUUUUAUUUUACCCAACAUACCCAAAAUAUUAUUUCAACAUAUAAUCAAUAUUUUAAAAUGUAAAAUUUUUUAUACAAUGUAUUUUUGUGUCCUUUACACUUGUAGCAUGUCUCAAUUUGGUUGUGAAAUAUUUAUCAAAAACAUUGCCAGGUGUGGUGGCUUAUGGCUGUAAUCUCAGCACUUUGGGAGGGAGGCAGAUUACUUGAGGUCAGGAGUUGGAGACCAGCCUGGCCAACAUGAAACCUCAUCUCUAUUAAAAAUACAAAAAUUAGCCAGGCAUGGUGGCACAUGCCUAUAAUCCCAGCUACUUGGGAGGCUGAGGCAGGAGAAUCACUUGCACCAGGGAGGCAGUGGUUGCAGCGAGCAGAGAUCUUACCCCUGCACUCAAGCUUGGGCAACCGAGCGAGAUUCCAUCUCAAAAAAAAUACUUGAUGUGAAUUUAGAUUUCAUACGAUUUACAGCUGAAAAAGUAGAUUCACAUAGCCAAGUUAGUCCAAGAACACUUAAAACUUUCUAUAACUGCAUCAAGUAUCAUUUUUAAAAUUUAAAAAUAUUAAAAUUAAAUUUAAAAAAAUUAGUUCCUCAGUCGCACUAGUCAUAUUUCAAAUGCUCAAUAGUUUUACAAGGCUGGUGGCUACCACAUUGAAGAGUACAGAAAAUUUUCCCUAUGAAAAGGUACAAGGAUGUGAUUCAGUAUACCAUCAAGAAUCAAACCAGUCAACCAAUAGGUAAAUAUUGAGUGUCUCUCACGUGUUGCAUGUAGUAGAUAUAGUGGCAGCUAAAACACCCUUGGCCAGGACAAGUUAGCUAUAAGGACUUUGCAAUUGGAGUUACAUGGAAGGAAUAAGAAUUGGCCAUUCUCCAGGCACAGUGGCUCACGCCUGUAAUCUCAGCACUUUCAGAGGCCAAGGUGGGUGGAUCACCUGAGGUCAGGAGUUUGAGACCAGCCUGACCAACAUGGUGAAACCCCGUCUCUACUAAAAAAAAACACAAAAAUUAGCCAGGCAUGGUGGCGGGUGCUUUUGUAAUCCCAGCUACUCGGGAGGCUGAGGCAGGAGAAUCACUUGAAGCAGGGAGGUGGAGGUUGCAGUGAGCCGAGAUCACGCCAUUGCACUCCAGCCUGGGGGACAAGAGUGAGACUCCAUCUCAAAAAAAAAAAAAAAAAAAAAAAAAUUGGCCAUGUUCAUAGCUUUGGAUCAGAGCUACUCAGGAAGAAGGUAAAGUUGGCUUUUAUUUGAUCUUUGGUAAACAGCCUAUUUGCAAUACUUGAUUUUCAUCUCAGUAAUACAUCCUGGAGGCCUAGUUACGUGGUACAUUUUGUAAUCUGGUGAGAAGCUCUGCAACAAACCCAAGAGCACUGAUAAGUGGCCACUUUAACCCUGUAACCUUUCCUGUACAUGAUGGAUAGUACUGGAAGCCCAGCAAGGUGCUAGAAUAUGAAAGCACUAGAAAAAAUCUGUCAUCCGUCUAAACGUACAUGGAGGUUUAUGCUCAAAAGAAAAGAGUAUGUUUCCAAAAGGCAAGUUCAGAGUGUUCAUGAUAGAACUAUUGUUAGCCAAAAACUAGACAUUAUUCCAACACAAAUAGAGAGUAGAAUUCUUUAAUAAACAGUGGGAUUUUCUGGACUAUUCAUGAUGUGAAAUACCAUUCAGUGAUGAGAAUGAAAAACCUACUGCUAUAUCCAAUAAUAUGGAUGAAUCUCACAAAUAUUAUAAUGAGUAAAAAAAGCCAAAUACGAAAAACAACAAAAUGUAGAAUUCUAUUUGUACGGAGUUUAAAAACAGGGAAAGUGAAUGUUUUAUUUUAGGAGUCAGGAGAGUCAUUAUCCCUGGCAAGGAAUGAGGGGUAAUAAUUAGAAAGCAGCAUAACGAGGGCUCCCGAGGUAUUGGUAAUGCUCUGUUUUGUAAUCUGAAUGCCAGUCAUACAGAUGUUCACUUAAUGAAGAUACUUAUUGUCCACAUACUUUUCUGUAUGUGUCAUACUUUUAAAAAAUGUAUUUAAGCAAUGAAUUCAUUCAUCCGUUUAUUCACUCAUGUGUUAAUUCUCCUGAAGACGAACAGAGUUCUCUAUUCUAGAACUCUAAAGGUAAGCUAGGCAUGUAAGAAAGUCAAAGGCAUCAUUUCAUGCUGUGAUUCCACCUUCUGAAAAUUCAAACAUCCUUCUUGGAGGCAGAGGAAGGAAAACCAAGCAGAUCACAGAGCUGGGGACUCCAUGAGAAUUGGAGGUGGUAAAAAAGAACUUUUGUGCUUAUUGAGGUUACUUUGCCUGGCCUGUCCUCCCCUCACCUCUGCCUAAUGAAAUACUAACCUUCUUCAAGUUCCAUUCAUGACGACUUCUUCUCAAACAAAAAUUACCUUGCCUUCUUCUAAAUUUUUAGGACAUUUGUCUGUGCUAAUCAUAGUUUAUUCCCAUGCAUUAUAAUAAUUUCUAGAAAGCAGUGUAAUGUUGUGUUUAAAAGCUUGGGCUGCAGAGUCAAGCAGGGUUCAAGACCUUCCAUCACUUGCUGUGUGACCUGGAGCAAAUUGCUUAAUCAGUAUGCAUUUUUUUCUCUGUUGUAAAAUGAAGGUGAUAAUAGCUGGACCUAUCUAAUAAGCUGUUAUGGAGAUGAAAAGAGAUAAUGGAUGUACAGCUGCUGGAAAUCAGUAAAAUCUCAGGAAAUGUUUCCUAUUAUUUUUACUGAGUACUAUCUACUCUAGCAGAUAAUAGGUUCCUGAAGAACAUGGAACAUGACUCAGAGAAGUUACAGUGAAUAAACUCAUUACAGACAUCUCAGAUUGGCUUGCCUUACAUGUAGUCAUGUUCUUUUUUCUCAUACACUAGCUUAAACUCCUCUAGAACAGGACCUACAACUUAUUCAUUGUAAUAUUCCUCACACAGCAUAACACUGGGUUUUAGGUUACAUAGAUGGGUUAUAAUCUCAUUUUAUUAAUGAGUUGAAGCCACUGAGGAAGUCUUGCCCUUUCUCGUUUAGCGAUGCUCAAAGCAAACCAAAGAUAACUUCUAUAAACUCCCCCUAUGAAUUCUCUUACUUCUAGGGUGACCAACCAUUCUAGUUCAUGAAGGGCUGUCCUGGUUUUGGCACUGAAAGUUCCGUGAUUCCAGAAACCCCUCAGUCCUAGACAAACCAGACCUGUUGAUCCCCCUACCUGCCUCUGUGCCCAUAUGCUCAGGCUAGCUUGUUUGUUUGUUCAUUUGUUUGUUUGUUUGAGAUGGAGCCUCACUCUUGUUGCUGGAGUGCAAUGGCACGAUCUCGGCUCACUGCAACCUCCGCCUCCCAGGUUCAAGUGAUUCUCCUGCCUCAGCCUCCUGAGUAGCUGGGAUUACAGGCACCUGCCAACACGCCCACCUAAUUUUUGUAUUUUUAGUAGAGACAGGGUUUCACCAUGUUGGCCAGACUGCUCUUGAACUCCUGACCUCAGGCGAUCCACGCACCUCUGCCUCCCUGGGAUUACAGUCGUGAGCCACCGUGCCCGGCCACUUGUUGUUUUUAUUGAUGAAUCAUCCUUGCUCCUAUCUAAAGCCAAGUCUUCAUUCUGGUUGGCAUUUUCUCUACUUAUUCAACUACUGGGCUCUUGAAAUUCUCCUCCCUCUUUCCUGCAUCAUCAAUCUUUUUCCUUCUACUGAACCACUUCCAUUAGCAUAUAAACACGCUAUAAUUUUUCCUACUAAAAAAUGCUUUAAGAGACCUGGUAUGUUGGCUCACACCUGUAAUCCCAGCUUUGGGAUCCCUAUAAUCCCAGCCUGUAAUCCCUCACUUUGGGAGGCUGAGGUGGGCAGAUCUCUUGAGCUCAGGAGUUUGAGACCAGCCUAGGCAACAAAGUGAGACCCUGUCUCAACAAAAAAAAUAGCCAGCCAUGGUGGCUCAUGCCUAUAGUCCCAGCUACUCAGGAGGCUGAGGUCGGGGGAUGGCUUGAACCUGGGAGGCAGAGGUUGCAGUGAGCUGAGAUCAUGCCACUGUACUCUAGAGUGAGCUACAGAGCCUGACCAAAAAAAAAAAAAAGCCUUAAAAAUUAAAAACAUCUGAACUUGUUUCUAGACACAGGUAAAAAAUAAUAAUAAUACAAAAAUUAAAACAACAACAAAAUGUCCCAAGCCUACAUCUCCUUCAACCUACCACCCCAAUUCUUGGCUCCCCUUUAUAACAAAACUCCUUGAAUGAAUUGUCUAUACACAGUCUCCACUUCCAAUUCCCCUUUUCUCAUUCUUUGUUGAACGACUUCAAUCAGGUUUUUAUUCCCAACUCUCCACAGAAAUAGGUCUUGUCACAAUUUGCCAAUGAUCUGGAAUUUUCCUAGGCUAUGGAAUUAUGAGAAAUAAACUCCUAUUGUAAUAAA